AGUUUGAUCCUGGCUCAGAAUCAACGCUGGCGGCGUGCCUCAGACAUGCAAGUCGAACGAUUAAAGCUCUCUUCGGAGAGUGCAUAGAGUGGCGCACGGGUGAGUAACACGUAAGUAAUCUACCCUCGAGUGGGGAAUAACAACCGGAAACGGUUGCUAAUACCGCAUAAUGCAGCGGCACCGCAAGGUGACAGUUGUUAAAGAUUUAUCGCUUGAGGAGGAGCUUGCGGCAGAUUAGCUAGUUGGUAAGGUAAUGGCUUACCAAGGCUACGAUCUGUAACCGGUCUAAGAGGACGGUCGGUCACACUGACACUGAAUAACGGGUCAGACUCCUACGGGAGGCAGCAGUCGGGAAUUUUGGGCAAUGGGCGAAAGCCUGACCCAGCAACGCCGCGUGAAGGAUGAAGUAUUUCGGUAUGUAAACUUCGAAAGAAUAGGAAGAAUAAAUGACGGUACUAUUUAUAAGGUCCGGCUAACUACGUGCCAGCAGCCGCGGUAAUACGUAGGGACCAAGCGUUGUUCGGAUUUACUGGGCGUAAAGGGCGCGUAGGCGGCGUGGUAAGUCACUUGUGAAAUCUCUGAGCUUAACUCAGAACGGCCAAGUGAUACUGCUGUGCUAGAGUGCAGAAGGGGCAAUCGGAAUUCUUGG
rnacentral:rRNA from 1 species